ensembl:miRNA
UGUUCUCAGGAUGCUGUGUGGCACACUCCUGUGACAUGCACCAGCACAUGGGAGACAGAGGCAGGAGGAU